rnacentral:sRNA from 1 species
UUCCAACCUUAUUUAUCUAUUCCGUGCA